AGUGGCGAAAGGGUGAGUAAUGCAUAGGUAACGUACCCUGGACUCCGGGAUAGCUGCGGCCUUCGGGCCUUUAGCGAAAGUGCAGGUAAUACCGGAUAAUAUCCUGAUGUCGAAUGGCAUUUGGAUCAAGGGCUUCGGUUGGUCUGGGAGCGGCCUAUGUCGUAUCAGCUUGUUGGUGAGGUAACGGCUCACCAAGGCAGCGACGCGUAGCGGGACUGAGAGGUUGGCCCGCCACAUCGGGACUGAGACACUGCCCGGACCCCCACGGGGGGCUGCAGUAACGAAUAUUGCGCAAUGGACGAAAGUCUGACGCAGCGACGCCGCGUGCAGGAUGAAGCCCCUCGGGGUGUAAACUGCUGACAGGGUUAAGAAAGGCUUCGGCUUGAUCUAACCCAGAGGAAGGACCGGCUAACUUCGUGCCAGCAGCCGCGGUAAUACGAAGGGUCCUAGCGUUGUUCGGAAUCACUGGGCUUAAAGAGCACGUAGGCGGGAGAUUAAGUGUCUUGUGAAAUCCCUCGGCUUAACCGAGGAACUGCUUGGCAUACUGGUCUCCUUGAGGCAAGUAAGGGCGCGUGGAACUCUA
rnacentral:rRNA from 1 species